rnacentral:rRNA from 1 species
GAGCAUGCGGAUUAAUUCGAUGCAACGCGAAGAACCUUACCAAGGCUUGACAUAUAGAGGAAACGUGCAGAAAUGUACGCCCCAGCAAUGGUCUCUAUACAGGUGGUGCAUGGUUGUCGUCAGCUCGUGUCGUGAGAUGUUGGGUUAAGUCCCGCAACGAGCGCAACCCUCGUCCUAUGUUGCCAGCACGUAAUGGUGGGAACUCAUGGGAGACUGCCGGGGUCAACUCGGAGGAAGGUGGGGAUGACGUCAAAUCAUCAUGCCCCUUAUGUCUUGGGCUUCACGCAUGCUACAAUGGCCGGUACAGAGGGCUGCAAUACCGUAAGGUGGAGCAAAUCCCAAAAAGCCGGUCUCAGUUCGGAUUGAGGUCUGCAACUCGACCUCAUGAAGUCGGAGUCGCUAGUAAUCGCAGAUCAGCAACGCUGCGGUGAAUACGUUCCCGGGCCUUGUACACACCGCCCGUCAAGUCACGAAGUCGGUAACACCCGAAGCCGGUGGCCUAACCGUAAGGAAG